ACCGGCGCGCCUCCGUCUGCGUGGCGUCGCGACGUCCUCGGGCCGCUGCACUGUCCGCAUACACCGGCGUCGUGUGCGCACGUGGUGGACCGCUUGACGAUCUCGUUACGCGCUGCCCAAAACUUGGGGAAGUCGUCCACGUAGCGGGACGACCGCCACUUUUUUUUAUUUCAUUUUCGGAUGGGCCGGUGCGUCGCGUUAUUUCGGUGCGUUGGUACUGUCGGUGCGACGUCAGGAUGAGCCGGCCGUGGGUCGCGUUGGCAUAGGUCAGUGACUGGGGUGCGUUGCAUGCAAGCCUGUGCACUAGGUAGAAUAAAUGUCGGCGGUUGCCUUGUUUUGGUGUUCCGAUGUUUCCGGCGUCUUCGACACCUAAAACCACACAUACACACGACCAGACUUCAGUAUGAACAAACACUAACCGGAGAACUCCGGGAAGACAAUAAACAAACCAGCUUAACGACGUGGACCAAUUAACAGGAGCAGGAGGAAAAGUGCAUAAUUAAACCGCCUCACUCCACUCAUAUGCCAUUCGAGAAUUUUGAUUUGCCAAAAGGUAUUCCAGUCUGAGACGUACAAAAAAAAAAUGUGUCGGUGUUUCGGUGUUGCCUAAAAAUUAACCUCGACCUCUCUCUAGUGUGAGAUGUAAUGUCUAUGUACUUCUUCCGGCUGCACAACCUGCGGCGAGCCGAGGAGGACAAGAAGAAGAAGCGUGCCGCCCAGCAGCAGCGCCAGAGGCGGAAGGCGCGCACCUACUCGCAACGGUACACGAACGCGGCGCUGACUCUGGCGCCCAGCCGUCUGUUCGAGCGGCCGCCCCUCACGCCCUCCGACAGCCUGGACGAGGUGGCCUUGCAGAUUCCCAGGUGCUCUCCAUAUGUAAAUA